GAGCGCCGGAUGCGAUGAGAGUUGCACGUCCGGUGCGGAGGGCGGGCCGGGGAAACGGGCCAGGAGCAAUCCUGGAACCGCGCCCCGGUCCGACCCCUAC
rfam:Mycobacterium sp. NAZ190054 Contig_466, whole genome shotgun sequence.